UCUGCGGGGAGGCGGUGCCCCCGUCCCCAGGGGCUCCCCGCAGAGCAGAGGCGGUUAGCGGGGUGGUUAUCUGAGGCCCAGCUCUGCCGGAUACUCUUAUCGCCCGGGUCUUGGAGACAAGCAGAAGCGGAAUGACCCACACACCCAGGAACAGUCACCAGAAUGGAGUGGACGUAUCGUUUCUCUUGCACAAUAGAUCCCAAAGCUCGCCCUUCGUGAAGUAUUUACCAAAAACUUCCCAAGCCUCCAGAACUGUGCCAGAGACCACGAGGCCACAUGGAAACAGAAGACAGAAUCCCUGUCCCCAAGGAGCUUAUUUCUAUUGAGGAGGCUGAAGAAAACUUCACGAGAUAAAUAAUAAUAUAAGAAUCAAAUCACUCGCAUGGGCAACGUAAUAACUGCUGCAGUAGCCGUGUCCGGCACGGCCACACAGGUCUAACAGGCUGACUGUGACGGAUACCAAGGUGUGAGUAGAAGGUCACCCUCCCGAAUACAGCAGUGUGCAGGAGACAACACCUUCCGAGGAGGCAGGACUCCGGGGGGAAGCUGGAGUGAGAUUCCACGGCGGAAGUUUCUUUGUUCCAGGAAUGGCAACUGCGGAAGCCCUGAGAACCGGGAGAAAUGCAGUCAUUAGGGGAGAGAAAGGGGACCUGUCAGGUACACUGGAGAAGGCUUUGCGUCACCUUGAUAACAGCCAAGAAGAAUAAACCACCUGUCCUAUUCCCAGGGGACACUGUAAACAUUUGCUGAAUUUGAGUGAAUGAGUGAAUGAGUCGGUCACUGAAAGAAGCAGAAACAAAAAGAUCGGGGUUCACACCCGGAGCAGGCCCGGCCCGGCACAGAAUCCCAUGGCCACAUGAAUGAAUGAUGGCAGAGCCCUUUAGGAAAUGGAAUCAUUUGAAUACACUGCAUUUUGAUGGUUUUUU